rnacentral:rRNA from 1 species
GAUUCUGGCUCAGGAUGAACGCUAGCUACAGGCUUAACACAUGCAAGUCGAGGGGCAGCAUUGGAGUAGCAAUACUCAGAUGGCGACCGGCGCACGGGUGAGUAACACGUAUCCAACCUGCCGCUUACUCGGGGAUAGCCUUUCGAAAGAAAGAUUAAUACCCGAUGGUAUAAAGAGUUCGCAUGUUCUCUUUAUUAAAGAAUUUCGGUAAGCGAUGGGGAUGCGUCCCAUUAGAUAGUUGGCGGGGUAACGGCCCACCAAGUCUACGAUGGAUAGGGGUUCUGAGAGGAAGGUCCCCCACAUUGGAACUGAGACACGGUCCAAACUCCUACGGGAGGCAGCAGUGAGGAAUAUUGGUCAAUGGACGAGAGUCUGAACCAGCCAAAGUAGCGUGAAGGAUGACUGCCCUAUGGGUUGUAAACUUCUUUUAUAAGGGAAUAAAGUGAGGGACGUGUCCUUUUUGUAUGUACCUUAUGAAUAAGGAUCGGCUAACUCCGUGCCAGCCGCCGC